rnacentral:rRNA from 1 species
UACGGAGGGGACUAGCGUUGUUCGGAAUUAUCGUGGGCGUAAAGCGCACGUAGGCGGAUUUGCAUAGUCGAGGGGUGAAAUCCCGAGGCUCAACCUCGGAACUGCCUUUGAUACUGCAAAUCUCGAGUCCGGAAGAGGGUGAGUGGAAUUCCUAGUGUAGAGUGAAAUUCGUAGUAUAUUAGGAAGAACACCAGUGGCGAAGGCGGACUCACUGGUCCGGUACUGACGCUGAGGUGA